GGAGGGAGCUGCCGCCACGGGCACCGCGCCGGCUCCGCCAGCCGCGAGCGCAGAGGGAGAGAGCGCUGCAGGGCUGUAAACGGCAUCUCUCGCUGUCACUUCAGCUUAAGAGCGUCCUCUCUUUUUAAAGCGAGACAAGCUAGUUUUCUAGCUCGGGAGGAAUGCACGAGCAGGAUGUAACCCAUCUAAUGAUGCAUCUUCAAUCAAAGGUUUGUCAUUUACUGAAGAGAAAGGCUCAAGGGAGCAGAUCCUUCCAUGUUUUCAGUUGGCAUGGGUCCACAGAACAGCUGUGCCAAUUACUUCCAGUUGAGGACUACCACUGGGUGUAUAGCUGCUUGUACUGAAGUUGUUGCAAUUACUAUCAUUAUGUUAUUUCUUGGCAAGGAAAGGAGAAAGAUAAGUGAGUGUCUGGGGUGCUUUGUUUAACUGCGGUGGGCCACUUACUCAUGCCAACCACCGAGAGCUACUAGGAAGCAAGCACAGCGAGAAGUGAACUUCUUGGAAAUUUCAGAUUUAACACGGAGCUACUCGUGUUAAUGCCAGCACCGAGGAAAACUAUCGCGUGGUUUACCUCCACCUGAGGAACCAUCUUGAUGACUUGCUCCAAAUGGUACACAACUAUUCACACACCUAUGAUCACAGUGCUGCGAAGGGAAGUCUUUAGACAAAAUGAAGAGUGGGCUGGAAGCUUCAGAUGGCAGCUAGGGGUGUGAAGGACUUCAGUGUCUUGUUGCUCGGCAUGCACAGCUGUGAGAGCCCUCUCACAUCAGGAAAGCUUCAGGGCCUCCUUCUAGCAAACCAACUGCCCCCAGUGCUCAGACAAACAUUGCAUUGCAUCUGGUCUGGAUGUUGCAUUGCAGCCAGUUCAACACAGCAUGUAUUGUGAAGAUGAUGUUUUCCUUUUUUUCCUCUUUUUGUACAGCAAAGCUUCAGCAGUUCCUGGCUGCAGCACGGAGGUACUGAACAGUUCUCUGCAAUGCUCUGGGGCUCAGACCAAGCGUAGGGCAGCGCCACCAUCAGCAGGAGGGCCCCGUCCUACUCUGGCUUUGCCAAUGAAAUACGGAGAGAACCCUUUCAUACUUAAUGUAUGUGUUUUACUCAUUAAAGAGUGCAAUUUGUGACAG
rnacentral:lncRNA from 7 species